rnacentral:rRNA from 1 species
AACGAACGCUGGCGGCGUGCUUAACACAUGCAAGUCGAACGCGAACGUCUUCUUCGGAAGAUUAGUAGAGUGGCGCACGGGUGAGUAACGCGUAAGUAAUCUACCCUCGCAUCAGGGAUAACCCACCGAAAGGUGUGCUAAUACCGGAUACGUUUGAAUGAAUAUCUUUUUUCAAAGAAAGGUGGCCUCUUCAUGAAAGCUACUGUGCGGGGAGGAGCUUGCGUACCAUUAGCUAGUUGGUAGGGUAAUGGCCUACCAAGGCAACGAUGGUUAGCGGGUCUGAGAGGAUGAUCCGCCACACUGGAACUGAAACACGGACCAG